GAUGUUGUAAUCUGCAAGAGUCCGACCAUCCUCAAGCUGUUUUCCAGCGAAGAUGAGUCUCUGCUGAUCCGGAGGGAUCCCUUCCUUGUCCUGAAUCUUAGCCUUGACGUUAUCAAUUGUGUCUGAGCUCUCAACCUCCAGGGUAAUAGUCUUGCCUGUCAAUGUCUUCACAAAGAUCUGCAUACCACCACGCAGACGCAACACAAGGUGAAGGGUAGAUUCCUUCUGAAUGUUGUAAUCAGCUAAAGUCCGACCAUCCUCAAGCUGUUUACCAGCGAAGAUGAGCCUCUGUUGGUCUGGUGGGAUCCCUUCCUUGUCCUGAAUCUUAGCCUUGACAUUAUCAAUUGUGUCUGAGCUCUCCACCUCCAAAGUUAUGGUCUUGCCGGUUAGGGUCUUCACAAAGAUCUGCAUACCACCUCUGAGACGAAGCACCAAAUGGAGAGUAGACUCUUUCUGGAUGUUGUAGUCAGCAAGAGUUCUUCCGUCCUCAAGCUGCUUACCGGCAAAGAUAAGCCUCUGUUGGUCCGGAGGAAUUCCUUCCUUGUCCUGGAUCUUGGCUUUGACAUUAUCAAUGGUGUCUGAACUCUCAACCUCGAGGGUAAUUGUUUUACCAGUGAGGGUCUUCACAAAGAUCUGCAUACCACCACGAAGACGAAGGACAAGGUGAAGUGUCGACUCCUUCUGGAUGUUGUAGUCAGCAAGAGUUCUUCCAUCCUCAAGCUGCUUACCGGCAAAGAUAAGCCUCUGCUGGUCCGGAGGGAUUCCUUCUUUGUCCUGAAUCUUUGCUUUGACGUUGUCAAUAGUGUCAGAGCUCUCAACUUCCAAAGUAAUGGUCUUGCCAGUCAGAGUCUUGACAAAGAUCUGCAUACCACCUCUUAAACGAAGAACCAAGUGGAGGGUUGAUUCUUUCUGGAUAUUGUAAUCGGCCAAGGUACGACCAUCUUCUA
rnacentral:lncRNA from 1 species